AUGGGCAGGUUUACGUUUGUUCGUGGCCCUAGUCCAGGCUCGCCGGCGCCACCGGCGCCGCCUUCUUCCGGCAUGUCCAAUCCGGCGGCUCGCUCUCCCACGCGGGAGGAAGGUCGCCGCGGUCCGACGACUCGUGCCAGGUCUUCAUCGUCUACGGAAAGCGCCAUGGUCCUGGAGAGGCUCACCGACGACCUCCUCGCCGAGAUCCUUUCACGGGUCCCCGCAAGUUCAGACAACGGCUGCAAUCUCGUCUCCAAGCGUUGGCGCAGCCUCAUCGACCGCCCCGACCACCGCAAGAGGCUUCCCCAGCCCCUGGCAGGCUUCUUCUACAACAGCACCAGCAAGCAUAGUUUAAAAACCCGGACCGGUGAGGCUGCCGGUUCAGAUUUUCACCUGUCCGACCGCCGGUUUUUUCGGUUCAAUGUCAUGAUGAAUGUUACGUGGCUCUACAUGUUUGGUUAA
rnacentral:rRNA from 1 species